AUGGCGUGCUACCCAUGCAACCCCUACCCCCACCUCCCACCCGGCACUACCAUUGUUGCUCCUGGCCCUCUGCACGAGCAACGAGGAUACGUCGUUGUCGGAGGAGAACUCCCCAUGGUCUGCGACGAGUGGGCCAUCGCCAUGCUGGUACCUGGCAUUGCCCCAGAGGAGUUUCAUGGUGCUAACGCCAUGAUCACAAACUUCUUGGAGAAACGAGGAUGGAGAAUAAACUACUCUUCGCGCUGUGGUAUGGGAUCUCCACUUCAGUUUACUACUGCAUGCUCUCGCGACUCUGCUAUUACAAACAACCCAUAUCAGAUUGGAGACACUGUUCUUAGGAUCACUAGACAAGAUCGAGGACUGAACUAUCGUAGUAUUACUUUUACUCAUGAUGUCUGGUUGCUGUUGAUGAACUAUCCGCUCGAGUGCUGGGAUGUAAAUGUGAUUAGCCAUACUGUUGCGCCCUAUGGUAGAUUUCUGAUUUGGAACAAAGAUCCCAAAGACAAAACCAAAAUCAUUGUGAAAGUUAGAGUCUUUAACCCUGACACCCUACCUCUGAGCAUUGUGGUGCUGCGUAAUCUUGAUGAUAUUGGCUAUGGUUCAUGGACAUGUCCAACAUACAUUCUGUCCAGAGAAAUCAUUGGGCAGCAGGGAGGGGAUGAAGAUCCUCUGCCUCCGGAUGGAGGAAACCCACACCCUCUACCCCAUGUACAUGGUGGUUUUUGG
rnacentral:rRNA from 1 species